UACAGAGGGGGCAAGCGUUGUUCGGAAUUACUGGGCGUAAAGGGCGUGUAGGCGGCCUUCUAAGUCGAACGCGAAAUCCCCGGGCUCAACCCGGGAACUGCGUCCGAUACUGGAAGGCUUGAAUCCGGGAGAGGGAUGCGGAAUUCCAGGUGUAGCGGUGAAAUGCGUAGAUAUCUGGAGGAACACCGGUGGCGAAGGCGGCAUCCUGGACCGGCAUUGACGCUGAGGCGCGAAAGCCAGGGGAGCAAACGGG
rnacentral:rRNA from 1 species